rnacentral:lncRNA from 10 species
GAAAUCCAGGACACUGGAGUAGCGGAUGUCCCAAACCUCCAUGUUACAAGCCACCCCUAGGACCCUGUCCUCAUGGCAAACAAUCAUUGGAACAAUUACAACAAUUCCACCUACACAUGACUAUGCAAUCCCAAUACUGGUAUGCAACAGCAGCUUCCAUGUACAUGGGGCCUCUUGAUGGAACCUGGUCUUACCCCACCCCGCGAAUGAAUUUUUUACCUCCCUUCAUUCCCUUCAUUGCAGAGAGCAAGAAAGGGAAAAACACAACCUAUACCCUCACCGCCUCCUUCCAGCAAGAAGUAGCCAGACAGACCCCAUGUCCCUCUUCACUGUUGCGUUUUCCCUGUCUUGAGACCCUCAUAGAUAUGAGCAUGGGGGAAUACAAAGGGUCAAAGAUUUAACCAAAAUAUUUGUCAGUGGGAUAAUAAGGAAAAGAGAGAUCACCCGGUGAUCAGGCAGGCCCUGGAGACAAAAACCUCCUUAUCUGAGGAAUUUAGACUUCCUUAUUAUCUAAAGGCACCUGGUUCUCAGCUCCUUUUUAACUUAAAAUUUAUGGGUAACUAGAAUUUCUCUACAUCUCCAGAAUGCAUGCAUGCCGAAACUCAUGGUGCAACCCUUGCCAACAUUAAGGCACCAAGAUGUCUGCAAAUGUAAUUAUUUGUCAUGCAAAUUGCCCUUCCGCUUUCACUUUAAGGUCCAUAAAUACCAUUAAGGAAAAAUGCCCCUUGGUGCACUCAGUUCUCCCUUGCUGAGGUACCCGCUGCACUCCAGCAGCAUUCUUUCUAUCUAAUACAACUUUCCUUUUUCAAAUCUAUAUUGGCAGUCAAUUCUCACCAACCCAUGAGUCAACCACUUUUUUGAUGCCUGGGCUCUGACACCUCACCUGGCAUCAAUGACACUAAAUUUUCCAGCCCUUUGUCCUCCACAGAUCCCUUUAAAAAUCCUUUUCCAGAACCCCUGGACCAAACAGAUUUGAGGCAUGAGAAUUCCUCCUGUUUCUUCAUUUGUCAACUUGCAAUUAUUAAACUCUUUCUCUGUUGCAACACUGCUGUUCAGUGUAUUGGUCUGUUGCUGUGCAGUGGACGUAUGAACCUG